AGUAUUAGUAUUUACUUUUUUUAUUUACACACCAGCCCGCGCGAGCGAAUUUAUGAUUUUUACUUUUUAGUAUCAUAUAUUUAGAUUUUGGGCGUCUAGUGUAUAACUAAUGAGUGAUGAUUGAUGUCUAGUGUUAACGUUAAAUUUUAAUAUCGGAUUUGACCGUUUUGAGACAACCCGUGAUUUUGUAUUUUUUAAUUAUUAUCAUAUGUAGAUAGUGGAAAGUAAAAGUAAUUAUUAUUUAUUAUUUAAUAUCUAUCGUGACCACAUUGUGAAAAGACGUUCGUUGAUCGAUAAUAAUAUUUUGUAAAUUGGCUUAAAAUUAAUCCGAACUUCGCGUUCCCUCUUAAACCCGUUUUAUCGUGUAUCGACAAUGCCGAAUAACCAGUUCAUGCACCCGAGAAAUAUAUACCGUACACCUCCCGCUUUCAAAGAGUUGUCGGUUAAAUAUCCAGAGUUCAAUAAAUAUGCGUCAACUGGUUUAAAUGGAAAAAUUGUUUUCGAUUUUAAAAAUCAGGAAGGUCUUAGAUUAUUGACUACUAUACUAUUGAAGAAAGACUUUGAUUUAGAUGUUGAUUUGCCAGUAGGUAGAUUAAUACCUACCAUUCCAUUACGACUAAACUAUUUAUUGUGGAUUGAAGAUCUGUUUAACUUGAACUACGACAAUACAAAAAAAAUCAAAGGAAUAGAUAUAGGUACAGGCUCAUCAUGCAUUUAUCCAUUAUUAGCAGCUAAACAAUUUCAGUGGUCCAUGGUUGGUACUGAUAUCAAUAAAGAAGCUGUUAAAAAUGCUAUUAAAAAUGUGGAAAAAAAUAAUUUACAAAAUUUAAUUCAAGUUCUUGAAGUAUCAGAAUGGGAAAGAUUAUUGCCAGUAGCAGUAGAUGAACAUUAUGACUUCUGUAUGUGUAACCCACCUUUUCAUAGUUAUUCAAAUUUAAAUUCAGAUGAUGAUGAAGCCGAUAGUUCAGUAGGAAUUACUUCUGAAAUGUAUACAAUAGGAGGAGAAGUUGAUUUUGUAAAAAAAAUGAUCAAGGAAAGUGAAAUAUUACAAAAUUCAAUAAGUAUUUAUACAACAAUGGUUGGUUAUAAAGCAUCAUUAGACCCUCUAAAAAAUGAACUGAAAGCUAUUGGAGCAUGUACAGUUGCAGAAGCUGGUUUCUAUCAAGGUCGGAAUGCUCGUUGGGGAAUUGCUUGGACAUUUCAGUCUGAUAUAAAAUUAAAGGAUUUUUUGCCUAAUAAAGAGUUUCAAAAGGAAAAGUUAAAACAACUUAGACCUCCCGUGUCUUUUAAAAUUCCAGAAACAUAUGACUCUACAACUGCUCUAACCAAACUAUCAGAACUUCUAGCUAGUCUUAAGUUAUCCAUAGCGACAUUAAAAUCAAAAAGUGAUGAAAAUGUCUUAUACCAAGCUGACAUUCAAGCAUAUAAAAAUACAUGGACUCAUCAAAGACGAAAGAGACGUAUGGAAAAAAGAUUAGCUGAUAUUAAACGUCAAAAAACAAAUGAUAAUUGCUUACACAUUGAAUUGGAUGAUGAAAAAGCUGAUCAGCAUUUAGAGACUACAGUAAAUGCAAAGCCAUUAUUUUCAGCUACUGUAGUUCUAAGAAAAACAGACAAUUCAAUUUGUAUAGAUAUGUUGCACAUGUAUGGCAAUAGAGACAAUUCAUAUCAAGUUUUUCAGUUCUUUAAGAAUAGAUUUAUAUAAUGGUUUCGUGUGACACAAAUUUAGGAAAACCAAAUCCAAGGCUAUCUGGCUGCGUGCUUGGUCGUUGAAAAUUCUCCCAAGAUGGAUCAGGCACAAAACUUUCAACUAUGUUACAUGGCUAUAAAAUGACAAAGGUUAGUUUCAUAAAUGUAUACAAUAUUUUUCAAUACACACCUUCUCACUUUGGUCAAAUAAUGUGAAAGACACAGAAUGUGAAAAUGACCAUUUCAGUAAAGCAUCAAAUUCACCUGGCAGUAUUUUUAUAUAAACAGAUACAUGUGUGUUUUCACCAGAUCCGUUGCCAUUCAAAAACACCGAUGCUUGCAACUUAUACCCAAAUUGGCUGGUAUAGAACGGCGAACUAAUGAGUUCUAGACCAUCACCACAUAAUUUGUGCCGACCCUCUUCAAGUUUUUCCAGUACAUCGCUGAUUUUCCAAAUUAGCGUACCUUUAAGUAAUAAAAUAUUUAUAAGCAAUUGAUAUUUAAAUUUAAUGUAUUGUUUAAAAAAUGUUAUGUACCAGACUGAUUAACAGCUAAGUUAUUUAUCACUUU